rnacentral:ncRNA from 2 species
CAAGCGACCGCUUCCCGACCCCCUCGUCCUAAAGCGCACGCCAUGGACGCCGGGGCGACAGGGUGCAGGAGGAAACGACUGCGCCUCCCGUGUUAGGAAAGGGAACGGACGUCGAUCGAG